rnacentral:lncRNA from 1 species
UAUUCUGUCUGAUAGUGAGAUAUAUUGUGAUCCCUAUCACAAUAUCAUUGAAACUUCUUUCAAUGGGUUGGAACAGUUCCAACUCUGUCCACCAAGGAUCAUCGAUCAUCAAGAUGAUACUUGUGGAUCUCACAAUCCACCAGUAACACCUAGUAGUAUGUAGUGACAAUCUAGUAGAAUAAAAGAUGAUGAACCUCUAGGUGCAGUUAACGUAUGAUACAGUUCUUCUAUCAUGAG